GGAGGGAUUUUCUAACCCCAAUGAUUCCACGAACCUCCAUGUGGUCCACACAUGGUUCCUGGGAUGUCCUGGCCUCCAAGAUCCAUCUUUUUCUUUUCAUGGCCUCAUUCCAUGGCAGCAGGAAAGGAGCAGCGGGAAUUGGAAGGUUCCCAGUGCCAGGUACAUCCCAUCCUGAGGGAACAGCACCGGGACACCAACCCCGGAUUGCGGAGACAACUUUGCUGAGUGAGAUCUUCUCAGAAAUGAGAGAUCUGUAUUUAGAGCUGGUUCUAGAUCUGGAGAAGGCCAGGUUUUAUAUCUGAGCAGUCUGGUUUAGUGGAAGGAGUCCCUGCCCAUUGCAGGAGCUGGAACGAGAUGAGCUUUAAGGUCCCUUCCAAGCCAAACCAUUCCAUGAUUUUUAUUUCACGGUCAUGGCCUUGUUUAGAAAUCUUGCCCCAAAGUAAGCGAGGAGAAAACUCUCCUAAUUUAUUCUCCCCUCACUCUGAAAAGCAGUUUGUUUGUUUUCUUUUCUUUAUUUUUUUUUUCUUUAUCCAACAACGCCAACAAGGAGGGCUUGAAGGCGCCUUUCUCCUGCCGGGGAAGGGACGGACCAGGGAACACCAGCAAGGAGAAGAGGUUGGGAUAUUUCUCCUUCUGGGAGACGCCUGAGGAGAAGCAGAGAUGUCACCCCAUCCCAGUGUCAGAAAAAUCCCAAAAAAAGAGGGAAAAAUCAGCUCCUUCUGCAAAAACCUUUGGAUUUCCUCUGGCUCCUUCCUCUCUCAGGUGUGGGAUCUGAAAAUCUGGGAAUGGGAAAGGAUCUGCAUCUUUCAGAGGUAAAAAAUAUCCCAGGGAGGGUUGGGAAGAGCCAAGAGCAGCCCCAAAUUUUUUAUCCUUUCUCUCCUUUCUCCUUUUCCCUUUCCUUUGAAAAUCCAGGAAUUCCUGAUCCAUGAGGAGUUCCUGACUCGGAUUCAGGAUACUCCUGAUCCUGGGCUUAUUUUUAAACCUCUCCUUAAUCCCUCCCCGCACGUCUGGAACAAAUUGGACAAAGCCAAGCAAAUUGGACACAGAGAGGAAAAGUGCCAGGAAAACUCCAGGAGGGAAAUAAACCCCUGGGAAUUGGGAAAAAAUGGGGGAAA
rnacentral:lncRNA from 1 species